ensembl:lncRNA
UGUCCCGACCUUCCUGGGAUCUUUCUGCAUGGAGUCUCCAUGUUCUCCUGCUGGGUUCUCCAGGUUCUCCAGCUUCCUCCCACAGUCCAGAAACAUGCUGAGGUUAAUUAGUGAUUCUAAAUUAUCUGUAGCUGUGAAUGUGAGUGUGAUUGUUUGUCUCUAUGUGUAGCCCUGUGAUAGACUGUUACCUGUCCAGGUGUUGGUACGUCUGUUCAUUAUUAUCUGCAUCAUUGUUUCCUGCAACAAACUGUGUUUUUCUAAUUAUUACUGAUUUACAUCUGUACUGUUUCUGUCACUUUUUAAUGCAGUUUAAUCCUCUAAAGCCAAAAACUGUAGAGUCAACAAGCAUUUUUUAAAUUUUUUUUUAUCAGCCUUCAACUACUCAUCUGUGAUUUUCUGUUCCAUCAGAAAAUCAAUCAGUCACUUCAUUCUGCACGUCUUUUUAAAAACUUUGCUCUGAAAUAAAUUGUACAAAUCAGACUCUGUAAAAACUAAAAAUAAUUCAGUGUUCCUCAGGAAAAUAAAAAAAGGAGACCUUGCACAUGAUUUUCAUUUUUAAUUACAAAUUUAUUGCAAAUAUAUAAAUAGAUCUUUUGUACAGAAAUUGCAAAGGGAAAAAUGUCAUUAUCAGCAACAAAGAAUUAAAGAAAGCAGAAAGCCAAGAUUUGUUCCCGUUAAUCCAAACCUUUGUUUUGCCUUUCCCUUUUGGUCUCUGAACAUUAAACCAGAGGGGAGAGUCGCAUUAGAUUUGAAUAGAAUUAACACCUACAGGAGUUUAAUUUAAUACAACGAUGGCCCUUCCCUUCUCUUGCCUUUAAAAACCUAAAGACCUCCCGAUACUGUCGACAGGGCAAGAGCCAUAAAUCAACACAAACGUUACAUACAUGUUCAAAUCUAACGGAAAUGACAUGGUGAUGUUGUGAGAAACUGCUUCGGAGUCACACAGAUGGCGGCUGUGCCUAAGCACUGCAGUAAUUCUAUUGUAUAUUACACGGUUGUGAUCACAGAUACUGUUGUUUUUUAGGGGCUGUUCAUGCUAUUUAUAUGUAUAUUCAGCUGUUACAACCUGAAAAAUCUGCAUUUCCUGGAAAAAUGAGUGAAAAAUUGCUUUUAAAAAGGAAAAAAACUAAUUAACAAAAUGAAAAUAAAGUCUUAACUCUGUGUUUUAUGAAUCUGCGUUGGACUCCCCUCAACGUGUGCACUGACUUGUGUCUGCUUGUGUUUCUUGGAUGUAAAGAAUUAAAGCAGAAGUUGAAUCACUUCUCCUAACUUUCUGCAUCAUGUUUGUGCAUCAUGCGGCCCACCAGGCCAACAUUAAUGCUCAAUGCUUUUGUUGCUGCGAGGCCGAGACACCACUUCUGAGCAGAUCAGUCUGCAGACAUUAAAUUUCCUCGAGCAGCCGAGGACGGAGCUUCUCCUCGGCCAUCUCUCUCUGCUCUGACAGCCAUUUUUGGAAGCUGCUAAGUUUUCAAUCUCUGGCACUGACAAGGCCAAUCAUUCUGCCUCUGGAGCAGCGUGGCACUGGCCUGUGUGUUCGGAAUAGCAAUGGCUUUCCAGCCUCUGCUAUCUGUGAGCGCAGAAACAUUAGCGUUGAUCAGAAUUAUAGGCUCCUGACACCGAAAGGCAGCUGGUCUCAUCGUGACGAGACCUCUUAGCGAGUUUCAGCGCUCCGGACCUAGGGUUGGAGAAAUGAGAGCGCCGAGUUACAGAUGAGCCCCCAGAACCGAUAAAUAACAGCCACCUCAUCUGAUUGCAGUGCAGUUUUACCCAAUUAAAACAUAACUCUGCACAUUUGCAGCCGGAUACGGCACGGAGCAGACUUAGCCCAGAGGUUAACGCAUUUCAUUUUCUCUUUGUAAUUGACAAGGCAUGCCUCUUUGGGUUUCUGGCAGCGGCUGGGCCACGGAAUAGGCAAUAAAUAUCUCAGCUGGAGGGUCUCAGUAUUAUCAGAGCAGAAAGUAAACAUGGUUAUGACUUAUGGGCCGCUGUCACUGCAUGAAUCCGCUAACUGAUGCACCAGCAGGGCGGCAGUAAGUGUUACUAACAUGUUAUAGAGACAGAGCUAAGUCUGACUGGUGGGACUAAUGCUUAAAUUCAUUGUCAGUGAGGUGGUUUAUAUAAAUAUUCAACUCUUAUUUGUCAUUUUUAGAAACAAAGAUGUCCGUUUCAGUUUCAGCCUCUGCAGCGGUGCACUUUUUUCCUUUUCUUUCUCCUUUCUGUGCAUGCAAAAAAGUUAGCGUUAAACUAGUGUUGUAAUAAAAGAGUGAUUUAUGGAAGGUAAAUUCAAUUAACUAGUUGGAUGGAAAGCCAGCAGGAUCAGAGACCAACGGAGGAGGAAUGAAAAUCAUUGAUUUCGCUAACAGCGAGUGGGCCGAGGCUCGGGGAGAAGCUGCUGAUGCUGCAUUCAUUUGACUCCUAACUGAUGGACUGAGAUUAAGACCAUUAGAUGUCCACUGUGUGUGGGCCUGCAUCACGCCAGCAUUCUCUGAAAACAUUAGAUUUUAAUUUAUUUUAAUCAGAAAAAAAGAAAGAGUUAAGAGGAAAUAGAGCCACAAACUGAUGUGGACCUGAAGGUAGGAAGGUAGCUUUACAUGUCUCUAAUGCAGAAUAAAGUGUAGAUGGAUGUAAACAAUCGGCAGCUUUAAGCGUCUCUACACCCUCCAGAGCAGCAUCACUGCAGUUUAUAAUACAAUCACCCAAAUGAAAACCAGUAGGCAAGAAUGUAAAUACGAAACAUCACCGAGAAUAAAAAAACGGCUAAAACCUAGAUGUUCAAAUCAAAGACAACACUGUAUUCAGCCCCUACAGUUUUUGUUUUCAACAUACGUCCACUCAUUGUACACAACAAUAUAUUUUUGUCUCUCAAAAAAUACAGGGAAUCAUGCAAAUAUAACAACUUCUCUUUUUAUGUAGUACACUAUGUUAAGCUUUCUCUGCUCUUAAACCUUUAUAACAUAUAUUGUUGCAAGUAGUAAAAGUCUGUCCCGUGAUUCCCUCCCCUCCAAAAGAACCCCGAACGAAAGAAACAAAGACAAACAACCAACUGAAAGUAGAGAAACACACAGACAUAUCAAGAGAUCAGGCUGAGUAUAAAACAUCCAUAGAAGCGUUUUUAACCUUAGUGUUUUUUCUUUUUUCAUUUAUCUAGUAUACAAAAUUCACAGAUAUUUCACAGAUUCUUUAAGUCCUUUGUCCGUCUUUGGAAACUGGGUCCAGUCAGGUGGCAAACCUCAGCCCUAUGUGGCUUUACCUGCAGGAUUUUCAAAUGCUCUUCUGCUCACAAACCUCAUGAUUUAGGGGGAAUUUCAAAGACUUUCAGUUGUCAGCGGAUGCUUUUAACAUCACACAUUUUUACAAUUGCUUGGCAGUCAGAAAGGAAGCCCUGGCAACGUCAGAGCCAAGAAAUCUGUCAUUUCAUUUAUCUCCACUGACUUCCUUCUUCAUUAUUUAGAUAAAUACACGUUCACAUUAGAGUGACAUCAAAAAUGGCAUGCGUUUAAUUUCAUCACAUCAGCCCUUGUGUGGUUUUCAUGAGGAGACACACGGGAUAGUUUUCAUUUAUCAAACACGGGCUAAUCUCCCACACAGUUAGCUAAUGGACUUAAUAGACUGUUGGACAAAAGGUCCAAAGAUACCAAAUGAAAGGAUUUGCAGCCCACUGUCUCUCAGCGCUAAUACCUGCCUGUCACCUGCUGUGAAACUAAGUGGAAACGAAGCUGCCUUCCUCCAGGCUUUUAAACAGUCGCAAGAAAUUCUGAAUUAGUAAUAAGUUCAGUAAUAAGUGGUGUAAUACGCUUCUGUUGUGCAGGAGUGUGUGUUUGUGUUACGGCUCAUGUGAAGCUGAUUCAUUCCUGCCUGCGUUCAGCUAAAGUCCCUCCUCCCCGUCCUCCUCUCUGCAGACCUUCCCAUUUACCUGCCUUUCAGGAAAAGAGUCAUUUUGUUUUCGUCAGCCCGUGACUCACUCUGACUCACAUUUUUAUGUUCCAUGUUUGCCAUCUACCCUUGUUGUUUGUGCGUGAUGUGGGGAGAGGAGCGGCAUUGGAAAAGAUCGGGAGAAAAUGUUAUAAACAAGCUGAAAACGUGUGUUCGGUUUGCUGCUGCUUUGGGAUUAAUAAUCAUUCUGUAGUUUAGGUUAUGGGUCAUUCCAGAACUGAAGGAUAUUCUAUGUCCCACCCAUCAAAUUUCCAAUAAUCCAUGUAGAAAAUACUAAAACAUGCAGUUAUUGUGUAAAUGUUCUUGUCCUGAGACUAAAUCUAAAAAAUGAGGAGAAAAGAAUGUUUGAAAAUAUUUUAUAAAUACCAAAUAAGUCUGGAGUUCCCCUAAAAUGACAUUUUUCUCUUGUCCCCCUGAUGACCAAACUGAAUCUCUAAUAAAAUAAUUAGAAUGAAAUUUAAAAAUAAUUUUUCUGGUUUUAUUUUUUCAUUGAUGUCUCUGUAACUGUGGGAAUAUUUUUUAAAAUAAUAUUAUAAUAGAAUAUAAUAUUUUAAAUAGUAAUUAUUAUACAUGGAAUGUGUCCCACAACAUGUUAGCAGAACCUGUAGAUGACGCUUUUGUCAUUUUGUGUCUCGUUUUUGUCAUUUUGUGUCUUGUUUUUGUCAUAUUGUGUCUUGUUUUUGUCAUUUACAUCACCAAACAGUUUUCCUAAAGAAUGUGUAGAUCAAAGCUAUGUCCUCUCUUCUAUUUUUCAUCUUUUCAUCCCAUUGUCAGCCUUGAUUGAAUGUCUCACUCUACCUCAUAUUAUCAGGAUCAGACUCAUUCUUUGGACUGUUUUCCAUCAGUCAGUUUGUCCUCUUGGUCAGCAGUAACAGCAGCUAAAUAUCUAGCUUCUACUGCUGAGAAAAAGAUCACAUUAGCAUGGAUUAGCAACCCUGUUACUGUGAUUAGAGUAGGGUUAGCAAACAACACAGAAAACAUGGAAUAAAAAUGCUACCAUUGAUGUGGAAGCUGAGCCAAUCAAUACCUAUUAUUGAUCAAUAUGGAGCAGAAAACUGUAAAAGAGAAG